GACAGCAGUCGCCGCGGUAAUACAGAGGGUGCGAGCGUUAAUCGGAUUUACUGGGCGUAAAGCGUGCGUAGGCGGCUUUUUAAGUCGGAUGUGAAAUCCCUGAGCUUAACUUAGGAAUUGCAUUCGAUACUGGGAAGCUAGAGUAUGGGAGAGGAUGGUAGAAUUCCAGGUGUAGCGGUGAAAUGCGUAGAGAUCUGGAGGAAUACCGAUGGCGAAGGCAGCCAUCUGGCCUAAUACUGACGCUGAGGUACGAAAGCAUGGGGAGCAAACAGGAUUAGAUACCCCUGUAGUCCCUGUCUCUUAUAA
rnacentral:rRNA from 1 species